rnacentral:rRNA from 1 species
AUUGAACGCUGGCGGAAUGCUUUACACAUGCAAGUCGAACGGCAGCACGGGUGCUUGCACCUGGUGGCGAGUGACGAACGGGUGAGUAAUACAUCGGAACGUACCCAGUCGUGGGGGAUAACGUAGCGAAAGUUACGCUAAUACCGCAUACGUCCUGAGGGAGAAAGCGGGGGACCGUAAGGCCUCGCGCGAUUGGAGCGGCCGAUGGCGGAUUAGCUAGUUGGUGGGGUAAAGGCCUACCAAGGCGACGAUCCGUAGCGGGUCUGAGAGGACGGCCCGCCACACUGGAACUGAGACACGGUCCAGACUCCUACGGGAGGCAGCAGUGGGGAAUUUUGGACAAUGGGCGAAAGCCUGAUCCAGCCAUUCCGCGUGAGUGAAGGAGGCCUUCGGGUUGUAAAGCUCUUUCGGCAGGGAAGAAACGGCUUGGGAUAAUACCCCGGGCUAAUGACGGUACCUGAAGAAGAAGCACCGGCUAACUACGUGCCAGCAGCCGCCGUAA